CCUACGGGAGGCAGCAGUGGGGAAUAUUGCACAAUGGGGGAAACCCUGAUGCAGCGACGCCGCGUGAGUGAAGAAGUAUUUCGGUAUGUAAAGCUCUAUCAGCAGGGAAGAAAAUGACGGUACCUGAUCAAGAAGCCCCGGCUAACUACGUGCCAGCAGCCGCGGUAAUACGUAGGGGGCAAGCGUUAUCCGGAUUUACUGGGUGUAAAGGGAGCGUAGACGGCUGCGCAAGUCUGGAGUGAAAUGCCGGGGCUUAACCCCGGGACUGCUUUGGAAACUGUGCAGCUAGAGUGCAGGAGAGGUAGGUGGAAUUCCUGGUGUAGCGGUGAAAUGCGUAGAUAUUAGGAGGAACACCAGUGGCGAAGGCGGCUUACUGGACUGAAACUGACGUUGAGGCUCGAAAGCGUGGGGAGCAAACAGGAUUAGAUACCCUAGUAGUC
rnacentral:rRNA from 1 species